rnacentral:rRNA from 1 species
GACGAACGCUGGCGGCGUGCCUAAUACAUGCAAGUCGAACGCAGUGGGGACGGGUGAGUAACACGUGGGUAACCUCCCAUCAGAGGGGAUAACACUUGGAAACAGGUGCUAAACCGAUACUGAUGGAUGGACCCGCGGUGCAUGAGCUAGUUGGUGCGGUAACGGCUCACCAAGGCCACGAGGCAUAGCCGCCCUGAGAGGGGGACCGGCCACACUGGGACUGAGACACGGCCCAGACUCCGACGUGAGGCAGCAGUAGGGAAUCUUCGGAAAUGGACGAAAGUCUGACCGAGCAACGCCGCGUGAGUGAAGAAGGUUUGCGGAUCGUAAAACUCUGUUGUUAGAGAAGCGGGAUCUAACCAGAAAGCACCGGCUAACUCCGUGCCAGCAGCCGUGGUAAUAC